AGCGAACGCUGGCGGCAGGCCUAACACAUGCAAGUCGGACGGAUCCUUCGGGAUUAGUGGCGGACGGGUGAGUAACACGUGGGAACGUGCCCUUUGGUUCGGAACACCUCAGGGAAACUUGAGCUAAUACCGGAUGUGCCCUUCGGGGGAAAGAUUUAUCGCCAUUGGAGCGGCCCGCGUCUGAUUAGCUAGUUGGUGAGGUAAAGGCUCACCAAGGCGACGAUCAGUAGCUGGUCUGAGAGGAUGAUCAGCCACAUUGGGACUGAGACACGGCCCAAACUCCUACGGGAGGCAGCAGUGGGGAAUCUUGCGCAAUGGGCGAAGCCUGACGCAGCCAUGCCGCGUGAAUGAUGAAGGUCUUAGGAUUGUAAAAUUCUUUCACCGGGGACGAUAAUGACGGUACCCGGAGAAGAAGCCCCGGCUAACUUCGUGCCAGCCGCCGCAGUAA
rnacentral:rRNA from 1 species